GUCAGGGUGACCGAGUGGUCUAAGGCGCCAGAUUUAAGCUCUGGUUCUCAUCUCAGAGCGUGGGUUCAAAUCCCACUCCUGACA